CCCUAACAUAAAAUUAGCGCAAAUACCCACUAUAUCAUACAAAUAUAGUGAAGAGCACAGACAUGCAUGCCCCCAGAUUAUAAUCUGCCUCAUAAGGUAUAGUAAAGAAAUUAACAUCUGUAAAAUAUAUGCAAUCGCGAGGACUGGACAUAAUGUGUCAGCAGUAGGCUAUAAUUAAUCGAUAAUUGACGCUGUAGGGAUUUAAUAUCCUGUUAAUGUCAUUAUCAAGUGGGAUUAUUUCGCUUUGAAAAGCCACGGAAAAUUUUAGUCACGCAACAGCGCAAGGUAUAUGCUACAUAUAUAGUACGUUUAUACUAAACGCAGAGCUUGCACAAGUCAAAGACGCUGAGCUUUCGCAUUAGAGACCCUACGACCCAGGACGGCAACGCGACAGCAACAGCCUCCAAUACAAUAAAUCAUUGAGAGAAUGGAAUAAUCACAAUAUGUGAAUAAUUUAGACAUUGUCUUCGCUCUGUAAUUACUACGCCAAAUCAAAGAUUUUACGUCUUGAUGCAACGGCUGCAUUUCAAACCGCAACAAGUGCAAUUUCAAACCAGGUUCAGCCGAACUCUACCCAGUCAUAAAACCCAUGUUAAAUGUCAUUCAUGUCGUCCCUUGUCUAGUCUCUCUGUUAAGUCGUGUUGUUAAUAAUUAUCACUUUAUAUAGGUAUUCUGUAUAAAUAGUUAAGGUUACCCGUAACGGAGUGUUCUGCGCUGAGCCUCUGAAGACUGUAUAAAAUGCAUACGACUGAUAAUACGCGUCGAAUUAUUUUUACUACCAUUUAUUUGAAGGAGUGUGUUGUGGCCGUCGCCGUCCCGCCGCCGCCCCAAAAUCGCAAGGAGCCCAGUAUUGAUCUUCUACGCUUGUAGAAUCACGACCACGAGUAGCUGUGUGAGCAAAACUAUCUAUUACACACUGAGGGUAGAUAUCUCCCAAAAAUUUAGCUCCCAUUUUAUAAAUCGGAAGACUAGGGGCUGGCUAAUAAAUUCCUAAAGUUCACAUUUAUUCAAUUUAGAGUGUACUGUAGUUACCCCUGUAGACUGCGACUGAAAGUCAUGAAUAUGUGAGUCAUUGUAAACCAGACUGCAGAGUGAGUCAACGUCGCACUCGAUAUUUUUUAGGCAGAAAUUUAGCACUUUAUAACAAUUUUCGCCAUUUAAUCUGCCCUGUAAUCUCUAAUUUUCGUUGUUUUUAACAUUAUCUUGCUACAUUUGCGCCCUUGACUGCAUCUUGAUGCACACUUGGGAACUGCUUUGCGCACACGCACUUCGAGUCUCUAACUUUUGCGAACCCGAAAUGGCCAACACCGCAGUCUGGUUUGUAAGUAAAGUCCCAUACAUAUCCAUAUGUCGCAAGCAAAAUGGAAAUGUCCUUGGUAUCCAAUAUAUUAUUAAUUAUUAUGCAUAAGUAAGAGAUAUUUACCAGAUACAGAAGAUAAUUCUCUUCUAUCCAAUUUCUUGAUGUGAACUGCAGCCCUCGUGGAAUAGGAAAGGACAGAUAGCCCGCUUCACCACUGAUAAAUACCGAAAUUUCCAGUCACGUGACUAUACCUAAAUUAACUUGCGCGCGCAAAUUACUUAUUUCGCAUAAUUAAUUUCAACCAUAAAUUAUUCCGGGAAGCAAUAAAAACUCUUAUCGCUGUGGCAAUAAGUUCCU